rnacentral:rRNA from 1 species
UACGGGGGGAGCAAGCGUUGUUCGGAUUCAUUGGGCGUAAAGAGCUCGUAGGCGGCUUGGCAAGUCGGGUGUGAAACCUCCAGGCUCAACCUGGAGACGCCACCCGAUACUGCCAUGGCUAGAGUCCGGUAGGGGACCACGGAAUUCCUGGUGUAGCGGUGAAAUGCGCAGAUAUCAGGAGGAACACCGGUGGCGAAGGCAGCUCGCUGGGACGGUACUGACGCUGAGACGCGAAAGCGUGGGGAGCAAACAGG